UCUCCUGCUGAUUGGAAUAACUUACCUGCUACCAUCAGAUCUCUCCCUACUCUGACUUUGUUCAAGCGUGCAUUGUCGUCUCACCUCAAGGUUGAAUGUUUUUGUAUGACCUGAAGUACUUUAUUUAUUGUUUAAGGGUUGUUGAGGCUCCAUCUUAUUUCACCAUCUCCUCAUGAGAUGACCCACCUAUUGCCCAUUUCUAAGUCUUUAUUUCUAAGUCUUUAUUGUUAUGAUUUUGUAUAUAUAGUACAGCUACUCUACUUUACUCUACCCAAUGAUAUGCAUUCAAUGUAACCGCCUAUAAUGUAUUACCAUGUGCUGUAUGCUUAGGCUGAAUGUUUGUAAUUUCUUGGUUAUUUCUUCCGAUGUAUGUGUGUGAAUGUUGUUUGUAUGUUGUACUUGUUUGUUAUUUGUUUUCUUGGGACCCCCUUGAAAACGAGG